rnacentral:misc_RNA from 1 species
UUUUGGAUGAAUGACUUGCCACAUCAAUUGCAUUGACUUCUCUGUUUCCUCAGGUUCUUCGCCUCCAACAAAAGUGAUAAUGGCCAAACACUCCAGUAGCGAAGAUAUCUUAGAUGCGUCAGAACGAGAUUUAAGAGCCUCUGUAAUAGGAGACACUGAUUCUUCCAACAUUUCAUGUGCUUUGUCCCCCAGGCCAGCAGUUAAAGCCAGAAGUCCAAGAACAUGAG